rnacentral:tRNA from 1 species
GCCGGGGUGGCGGAACUGGCAGACGCAGCCGACUUAAAAUCGGCGAGCCUUCGGGCUAUGCGGGUUCGACUCCCGCCCCCGGCA